AGAGUUUGAUCCUGGCUCAGAUUGAACGCUGGCGGCAUGCCUUACACAUGCAAGUCGAACGGCAGCACGGGAGCAAUCCUGGUGGCGAGUGGCGAACGGGUGAGUAAUAUAUCGGAACGUGCCCAGUCGUGGGGGAUAACGCAGCGAAAGCUGUGCUAAUACCGCAUACGAUCUCUGGAUGAAAGCGGGGGACUCGCAAGGGCCUCGCGCGAUUGGAGCGGCCGAUAUCAGAUUAGCUAGUUGGUGGGGUAAAAGCCCACCAAGGCGGCGAUCUGUAGCUGGUCUGAGAGGACGACCAGCCACACUGGAACUGAGACACGGUCCAGACUCCUACGGGAGGCAGCAGUGGGGAAUUUUGGACAAUGGGCGCAAGCCUGAUCCAGCAAUGCCGCGUGCAGGAUGAAGGCCUUCGGGUUGUAAACU
rnacentral:rRNA from 1 species